rnacentral:rRNA from 1 species
CCUACGGGAGGCUGCAGUGGGGAAUAUUGCACAAUGGGGGAAACCCUGAUGCAGCGACGCCGCGUGAGUGAAGAAGUAAUUCGUUAUGGAAAGCUCUAUCAGCAGGGAAGAAAAUGACGGUACCUGAGUAAGAAGCCCCGGCUAACUACGUGCCAGCAGCCGCGGUAAUACGGGGGAUGCGAGCGUUAUCCGGAUUCAUGGGGUUUAAGGGGUGCGCAGGCGGGCCUUUAAGCCGGCGGUGAAAUUGCGGGGUCCAACCGCGCCGAGCCGUCGGAACUGGGGGCCUUGAGUGCGGGGGAGGCAUGCGGAAUGCGCGGUGUAGCGGUGAAAUGCAUAGAUAUCGCGCAGAACCCCGAUUGCGAAGGCAGCGUGCCGUGCCGCCACUGACGCUGAGGCACGAAAGCGCGGGGAUCGAACAGGAUUAGAUACCCCGGUAGUC